GACGAAGGAUGCAAGCGUUAUCCGGAUUCAUUGGGUUUAAAGGGAGCGUAGGUGGCCUUAUAAGUCAGUGGUGAAAUCUCUCAGCUUAACUGAGAAAUUGCCAUUGAUACUGUAGGGCUUGAGUACAGUUGCUGUGGGCGGAAUAUGACAUGUAGUGGUGAAAUACAUAGAGAUGUCAUAGAACACCGAUUGCGAAGGCAGCUCACAAAACUGUAACUGACACUGAGGCUCGAAAGUGCGGGGAUCAAACAGG
rnacentral:rRNA from 2 species